UACGAAGGGGGCUAGCGUUGUUCGGAUUUACUGGGCGUAAAGGGCGCGUAGGCGGUGCGAUAAGUCAGGCGUGAAAGCCCCGGGCUCAACCCGGGAAUAGCGCUUGAUACUGUUGCGCUUGAAUCCAGGAGAGGAUGGCGGAAUUCCCAGUGUAGAGGUGAAAUUCGUAGAUAUUGGGAAGAACACCAGUGGCGAAGGCGGCACUCUGGCCUGGAAUUGACGCUGAGGCGCGAAAGCGUGGGGAGCAAACAGGG
rnacentral:rRNA from 1 species